rnacentral:rRNA from 1 species
UACAGAGGUCUCAAGCGUUGUUCGGAUUCAUUGGGCGUAAAGGGUGCGUAGGCGGCGCGGUAAGUCGGGUGUGAAAGCCCUGGGCUCAACCCAGGAAGUGCACUCGAUACUGCCUAGCUAGAGUCCCGGAGAGGUUGGUGGAACUCGUCGGUGUAGAGGUGAAAUUCGUAGAUAUCGAGAAGAACACCGGUGGCGAAGGCGGCCAACUGGACGGUGACUGACACUGAGACGCGAAAGCGUGGGGAGCAAAC